rnacentral:rRNA from 1 species
CAUGGAGGGUGAGAAUCCCGUGAGGUUGACCAUUGCGCUUUACGAUACGCUUUCUAAGAGUCAAGUUGUUUGGGAAUGCAGCUUAAAAUGGGAGGUAAAUUUCUCCUAAGGCUAAGUAACGGCGAGAGACCGAUAGCGAACAAGUACCGUGAGGGAAAGAUGAAAAGAACUUUGAAAAGAGAGUUAAAUAGUACGUGAAAUUGUUGAAAGGGAAACGAUUGAAGCCAGUCGUACCUGCGGGUAAUCAGCCUUUUGGGUGUGAUUAUGUGGAGCGUGAGGAGCUAAUCGCCCUCAUCUUUGCAUAUUCGUGCACUUUGGGUGUAUUUGCUCGUGUGGUAGGUUAACAUCAAUUUUGAUCGUCAUAAAAUGACUAGAGGAAUGUAGCUUCGAUCUCGUAUUGAAGUGUUAUAGCCUUUGGUAGAUGUGAUGAUUAGGAUUGAGGAUUGCAACGGAUACCCUUCGGGGCUACCUGCCUGAUCUCUGAAAGUUGCUCUGGUGCUGAAAGCUUGCUUAUGGUAUCAAAGUUGACAUUCAAUAGGUUAGAACGGGAUAAAUUCGUUAAGGAUGUUGACGUAAUGG